CUCAAGUAACUAUUAAGAUUAUUACUUUCACAUUUAUUUUGAGUUAAUUUUUUUUAAUAAGUACUUGUACUUUUACUUGAGUACAGGUUUGGAUACUCUACCCACCUCUGUAUGUCCAAAAUCAACAGUAUUUUAAAUCUCUUCCACACUGGUAAAAAACAAAAAACAAAAACAAAACAAAAAACAAGGUGGGGUGAUAUUAUCGUCACAUGUUCAUUACAAGAUUUGCAAAAGCAGAACCCUUUCAGAGCAGUGUGUUUCACUUGAAGUAACAACAACUAAUAUUCUUACAUUUAACUCCAGCAGACUGAAUGUCAUCUUAUGGCAAUAUGAACAUUCCCUCCUUUACACAUGGGAUGUACAGAGAAGAUGAAGAAGAGAUGGAUAUCUAUGCUAAUGCUGAUCCUAUAAACAGGACAGAAACGGAGAACUCCAAGAGACACCAAACACCUCAACACACAGAAAUGGCUUGUGUGAAGAUCAGAAGCUCCAGAGCAGCUGCAGUGUGUUUGGUGCUGCUGUGUGUUCUUCUGCUGACUGCAAGUCAUAGUGCUGGUUGUCUACAUCCAUACAAAGAGCACAAACUACACAGAACAGAAAAACCAGCUACUAAACAUGAUUACCAACCUCACAGAAGAGAGAGAUCAGCUACUAACCAAAAAUACCAACCUUACUGAGGAGAGAGGCCAACUACUAACCAAUAUCACCAACCUCACAGAAGAGAGAGACCAGCUACUAACUAAGAGCAUCCAAUUGACUAAAAGAGAGAAAUGUAUUGAUUAAACAAAGAGAACAGUCUAAAUGUCUUUGUGAAAAGGUUGGAUGGACGAGGUAUAAAUCCAGUUAUUACUAUGUUUCUUCUGAGGUGAAGAACUGGACUGAGAGCAGAAGAUACUGUACAGACAGAGGAGCAGAUCUGAUCAUCAUAAACAACAAAGCGGAACAAG